CGGGACGUGAGUUAUUUCCAGCUGUGACGUCAUCAUUAACUUGAUCUGAGCAAUUCACCGUGAAUUAAUACCCGUAUGAAGUCGGUCACAGAUCACUUUCUGUGUCUAACGGGAAGGAAAUUGACAUGAGAAAACUCCCACUCAAAAGCGACCGGACUGACAAAUAUACAAUGCAGCCAAAAAGACGAGUCAAAUGAGGCCACUAUCAUGGAAAAAGCCGUGAGGUUCGAGAAUAAGGAGGACUCUGAAGACGACGAAACUGCUGUCAGACAGAGCCGCUCAAAGCAUCAAAGCAGUCACACAAGUACACGCACAGAGGGUAACAGAAAACAUGAAAGAGACAAUUCUAGUGAUAGCAUAGAAUCUUUGGCAAAAUGGAGAACUGUCUCAAAACAAAUUAGAAAUGUUGUCUUGGUAAAGAACUCUGUGAAGCCUUCUCGCUCUCGAAAGCGUUCGGCUACUGUGAAGUCGCCAGCCACCAUGGACCCAUUCCUUCAGAAAUUUAGCACACGGGAUAAUCGAAAGAUAACUCCACCAAACAGAAAAAGAACGCGAAUUUCCAAGAAAAGCUCUUCUUCGCCUGGCGUUUUGUCAAACGCAACCUCUGCACAAGAACCUCGACGACCACGGCUUUCUAUAGAAAUCGAAAAAGAGCUCGAUAGCGAGUUAGCUAGUGGUUCUGUUUACGAAUAUGACCAAGCAGUUCAUUGGAAAGACAAGAAUUUUAUUUUUGACCCGGAUGGGCUACACAUUUGCGUCUGGUUUUAUGUUCUUGUGUUUGCAAUUCGGUACAAUUUAUGGGCCUUGAUUACCAGGAUCGCUUUUCCUGCCGCUCAGAGCGGUUUUUUAAAGAUAGUGUGGUAUCUCUUUGAUUAUUUUUGCGAUGCAAUUUACGUUUUGGACGUCGUUAUUGCUGCAAGAACAGGUUUCCUAGAGGAAGGCAUUCUAGUCAUAGAUACAAAACGAGUGUAUAUGCGGUACAUUCGCUCUGUGGAGUUCAUUGCCGAUGUGGUGUCGUUGAUUCCAACUGAUAUUUUAUAUGCAACAUUAGGACCUCUUCCGCUUCUAAGAAUCAACCGCAUUGUCAAAGGAUAUAAGAGUUUUCGUAUCAAAGCUGUUAUGGAGUCACAAGCAAAUUAUCCUACUUUCUUACGCGUGUUCUUUCUCAUGCAUCUCAUGUUCCUUCUUAUUCAUUGGAACGCUGCGUUCUAUUUCAUGAUUUCCAGAGCGGAGGGAUUUGGGACGAAUGAGUGGGUUUAUCAAGGCAAUGGUUCCUUGUAUCAGCAAUAUCUACAGUCAUUUUACUGGUCUACAUUAACUCUAACUGCGAUAGGAGAUUUGCCGCAGCCGACUACAAAUCUCGAAUAUGUUUACACAAUCGCGUGCUACUUGACUGGUGUUUUCAUGUUUGCGACCAUCGUAGGUAAUGCAGGAAGCAUUAUUGUGAACAGAAAUGCGGUGAGAAUGGAUUUCGAAAAGCAAAGAGAAAAUACCAAACAGUACAUGAAGAAACACAACGUGCCUAAAGACUUGCAGAGGAGAGUGGUGAUGUGGUAUGACUACUCAUGGGCUAGAGGUAGAAUGAGUACCGGUGGAGGAGACCUUAAUUCUCUGACGUUACUACCAAGUAAACUGAAGACUGAGAUUGCUCUUCACGUUAAUCUUGAAACGCUUCGAAAGGUGACGUUCUUGCAAAAGUGCCAGCCAGAAUUUCUCCAUCUCCUUGUCCUUCAAAUGAAGUUGCGAAUAUUCACCCCUGGAGACCUCGUUUGCAGGAAAGGCGAGGUCGCACGAGAGAUGUACGUCAUAAUCGAUGGAAAGAUCGAGGUGAUAGGGGAUCAAGGCCAAGUCCUUAAAGUCUUAUCUGGAGGGGACUUCUUUGGUGAGAUUGGAAUUCUCAGCUUGAGCGAAGGCCAAAAUAGACGAACAGCCGAUGUUAGGACAGUAGGAUAUGUGGAAUGUUUUGUUCUUGCAAAGGAAGAUGUGCUGUCUGCCAUCCGGGAUUACCCUGAGGCACAGGCUGUGCUUGCUGACUAUGGAAAAAAACGUUUGGAACGUCAAAACAGCUCACACGAUCCGCGCUUCGUGGACAUGGACGACAGUAAAGGCAGAGACUUGGACGCUUAUGAUCUCAUAAACCAUCAAAAAGCUGAAGAGUUUCAAAGCAAACUGACAACAAAAUCCGUUCCCAACGGACUUUGUAGACGAACAAGUGCAAGCUUUUCACCACUCGAGCGAGCCCCUCAACCAUCACCUCGAGCGGUCCUGGAGCCGAUUCCUUUGGCUAAAUUAAGCAGAUCUACGCGACUCUCGAGCGAAGUGGAAAUACAGUCUGCGGAAUCAUGUAACAGAAACGUUUUAGAAGCGCCAUGCAGUAGCGACGAGCUUGUGAAAACGCUGUUUCAUGAUUCGUACAUGGAAGCUUUGAACUUUCUCAAGAAAAAUUUUGACGAGAACCUAGCAAAAGAAAUGACGGAUGUUCGCAAAUCCCUAAAAAGUAGCGAAGAAUCUAAUAGACUAAAAGACGUUGACAUCUCUCACCUCAACACCCGUCUAUCAAACAUGGAGAAAGAACUUGAAAAGUGGAAAAUUCGAGUAAAAGAGCUUGAGUCAGAAAACUUUAUCAAAGAUCAGACUAUCAAACAGCUUCGGGAAGAGUCUGAGGUAAGGAUAAUGAAAUCAGGUUCAAGGGAACGUCGUCUACCCCUUCGCCUGAAAUUUCUCUAUCCAACUUUCUUCCAUUUUAAAAAUCCUAGACCAGGACGCUCGCACUGCAGGCUAGACACGUGGGGUUUUAAUUUCCAUUUUACAUCGAAACUUCAAAACUGAUCAGUCUUCCCAAUGUUAGGUCAGUUCUCCAAAGGCCAUUUUGUUUGUUUUCGUGGAUGAGAGAUAGCCGGUCAUCUGACUUAGAGGGCAUUACAAUGUGUGCUCUUUGUUUGAACGUUGUCUGUUUGGACUCAGCGCACUGUGGUUGGACCACGUAAUAAAAUGAUGUUUCUUACCUUCCAUCAUUCUAGCUUCCAGGACGCCCCGUAAAUGUACUGAGAAGAGACAAACAUGUUAUGGAUCUGAUAGGGAGCUCAUGUCAUCAAGAUCAAGAACUAUGAGCAGCACAGUGAGCUCGUCGUCUCUAAUGGACAUGGAAAGAUCAACAACUACCUAUUG
rnacentral:misc_RNA from 1 species